rnacentral:lncRNA from 1 species
UGAGAGCUGGGUCCUGCACCCGGGGAAACCCCUCAACCCUGGCGGCUGGGUCCACCCCCAAACGUCCCCAGGCCCGUCUCUCUACACCAAGCCACCUCCUUCCGGGACCCCACAGGGCUGUCUCCACUCAGACCCCCUGCACAGCAGACCGGAGGGGCCUGGCUUCCCGGUUCCUUCCUCAAUCCCACCACCCCGGUCCAGCGCCUUCUCGGGAGGGGGCGGCCAUGCAAAGGCCCUCGGGCAACAGAGCAGAGUCAGAACUGCAGGUGCUCGGGGCUCCCUCUUAAAGCCGCCCCCGCGAGGCCUAGGUUGGUUAAGGCCCCCACCUCCGGACAGAGGGUGCCGAGUGGGGCUGGGGUCCCAGCUGGGCCGAGCAGCAGGGGAGCUGUGUUGCACGCAGCACCAGGCCACACCCGGACACAAGGAGGCCGGAGAGGAGGGGCUUUUCAUCCUCUUUUGUUAAAAACAGACUAGCACCACUGUGACGCGUGCCACGAGACACCAAGACGGCCCAGUCACAGAGGAAAAACCCGAACACGACACAGAACUGAGGAGAGUCCAGGCCUGGGCGCCUCGGGCCGGGGUCUCCGGGCCUCACUUGGCCG